GAAGGUACUCUGCUGCAUGAUCACCUGUAGCUGUUCUUGGUUCAAGAGGAACAUCUGACAACUUGGUUCUCACCAAAGAGGGGUGUCGAACAAGGGCCUUCUUGGUGGCAGAAGCUACUAAACGGCGAUCUCCAGCAAGAGGAUUAGGCGGUUUGCUGUUGCUGGAGCUCUCAUUUCCUCUGCUACAAUUAUCAAACAUCAAUUUACUU
rnacentral:misc_RNA from 1 species